CCUGGCAGGAGUCCAGACUUGCAGAGAUCAGGCUUCUCAUGACUGAAGACUGACGGUGCGGAUGGAGUCUCUCUUCACACAGAUCAUUGAUGCGGGGAGGAAAACAAAGUUCUGCCCAACCCAGCCAGGAGUGGAAGUACUAAAAUAUUGCAAGAAAACAUGAAGUUUCCAACCGAGGGGUCCUGUUCUGUGAGGCAUUGAGCAUUUGUCUUCACUGGGCUCUGAAGACACUCAGCCCCUUCUAGGAGCUAGGAGUUCAGCAUCUUACAGGACCAAGUUGGAUGAGGAGGAAUUUGAACUGGGUUCUCCCAGCUCUGAGUCCACAAAGAUGUGGUGAAGGACUCGCUGAGCAGUAUGAAACUCCCAUCUCUGAGUAUCUGGGAUUAACUUC